AACAUGACUUCAUUCUCAGUGCCAAAACUUCAUUUUGUUGUGAAUUAAACUUUUUUUUUUUAAAGAUUUUAUUUAUUAUAUGUAAGUACACUGUAGAUCUCAUUAUGGGUGGUUGUGAGUCACCAUAUGGUUUCUGGGAUUUGAAUUCAGGACCUCUGGAAGAGCAGUUAGUGCUCUUUACUGCUAAGCCAUCUCGCCAGCCCAUGAAUUAACUUUUAACACCAAUGUAUUCUCACCUCCCUCAAGAUAAAAGUCUGCAUUAUGGUCUAUAAAACUCAGUCUCCCUGCCACCUCUCUGACAUCAUUUUCUGCCAUCCCCAUAGCAACCCUCUUAGCCCCGAGCCACACACACCUCCAGCAUCUGCUCUUCCUUCUCUGUGGGAUUUUCCCCUCCACAUGCUGGUGGUUCACUGUCACUAACCAGAGCACAUCAAGUCCCCCAAAUCCCUCUCCUCUCUAAUUGUCUGUCCACAGUAACAUCUGGUUAUCUGUGACCUUAAAAAAAAAAGUCUAAAUAUAUAUAUACCCAGCAAUUCCCAAAUCCUUCCAACACCCCACCUCUGAGGAUCAUUCCCUUUCUGGCUAUAGAUUUGUCGCUCUGGACAUAAACAGAUUAAACCACAUAGAAUCUAAUCCUUUUUAUCUUGUUUUGUUUAAAAUUCCCAGCUCUGAAGAGGAUGCAAGGAGACUGUGUGAGCCCAGAGUAUAAGGCCAGCCUUGUUAACAGCUAGAACCCCUUCGAGAAAGUCAAGUCUGCCUUUGGAAAUGUUUGGGUUUUUCUGGAGAAAGGUGUCUUGCUGUAUAGCCUAAGUUGGCCUGGAACUCACUGUGUAGCCCAAGCUGGCCCUGUUAGAAGAGAGCUAGCUGGAGUCAGUUUUCUCCUUCCACAUUGGUUGUCUCAAGUAUGGAACUCAGGCAGUCAUACUUGGCACCAAGUACCUGGAGUUCUUGGUCUUCCAAACCCAGCAUUAGGGCUAGGAUUAUGGCUCUGUUCUAUAAUGCUUGGCCUAUUUUUGGCUACAAUUUUCCUCCAAAAUAUUACAAGUUUCGUUUUUAUCAGAUCCAGAAAGCUAAUUUGUUAGGGGCUAUACAGUGAAUACUUUGUUAACAUUGGCAAUAGUCUUUCACAACUAUUUAACUCUGCUGUCACGGCAUGAAACAGUCGUAGGAAACAGGAAUAAAUGAGCAUGUCUGACCCACUUUUUUGGGUUUUUUUCUCCAUCAAUAAGUUUGUAGGUUGUUAAAUUUACCAUUGACACAAAGGCUACUAAUUACUCAACAAACAAACAAACAAACAAACACAAACAUAUGAAGAAAAUACUGAAAAAAAAAGCCCAUUCUGAUAUAGAAAUGCAUAAAUCUUAGUUUGAAACCAAGACAAGCAUAAAUGUAUGUCUUAAAAAUUAGGAUGGUUUUUAAAUGACUUCAAAACCAUUUUAUCCCCCCAGGAAGACAAAGCUAUCCAUACAAAUCCUUAAGGACUACUGUCCUGGGAGCAGCAUCAGCCUUCGCAGAGAGAAAGUUUUCUGAAGCCAAGUGUGGUGGUGCAUACUUACAAUUUCAAAAUCAAGGAGGCAGAAGAAGGAUGUUCCCGUGUUCAAUGGAGAUCUAACACAGAAAAUAGUGAAGACAGAUGAAUGUGACCCAGUCCCACCUGCCGUCACUUCAGCACUUGCCGCUGCUCCCGGUCAGGCUGCUUCCUAAGUGUUCAUUUCUGCUGACUGCCCACUAAGGUUGUAUUUUGACUGGGCACAUGGGACACAGAGGACAACAUUGAGUGUUGUCCCUCAGGACACUGACCACCUCAUUCACUUGAAGCAGGGUCAUAUGGCUUCUGGCUUCACACUUAGAAAAGUCUUCUCACCAGGCGUGGUGGCGCACACCUUUAAUCCCAGCACUCGGGAGGCAGAGGCAGGCGGAUUUCUGAGUUCGAGGCCAGCCUGGUCUACAAAGUGAGUUCCAGGACAGCCAGGGCUACACAAAAAAACCCUGUCUCGAAAAACCAAAAAAAAAAAAAAAAAAAAGGAGCACUGACUGCUCUUCCAAAGUUCCUGAGUUCAAGUCCCAGCAACCACAUGGUGGCUCACAACCAUCUGUACUGGGAUCUGAUGCCCUCUUCUGCUGUGUCUGAAGGCAGCUAUAGUGUUCUCAUAUACAUAAAAUAAAUAAAAUCUUUAAAUAAAUAAAUUUUUUAAGACAAGGUCUCUCUGCAUAGUUCUGACUAGCUUGGAACUCCUCACAUAUGUAUAGACCAGGCUGGCCUCAACUCACGGAGAUUUGUCUGGCACUAAGGCCCUUAAAUCUCAGCACCAGGAGGCAGAGGCAGGUGUAUCUCUGAGUCAAGAAACCAGUCUGGUCUUCAUAGAGUUCCAGGCCCGCCAAAAAAAUUCUGUCUUAAAAUAAAUACAUAAAAAGUUAAGAGAAGGGCUGGUGAGAUGGCUCAGCGGGUAAGAGCACUGACUGCUCUUUCGAAGGUCCUGAGUUCAAAUCCCAGCAACCACAUGGUGGCUCACAACCACCCAUAAUGAGAUCUGACCCCCUCUUCUGGUGCAUCUGAAGUCAGCUACAGUGUACUCAUGUAUAAUAAUAAAUCUUUGGGCCGGAGCAAGCAGGGACUGAGUGAGCAGAGUUGACCAGAAUGGCGGAGACAACCGGAGCAGGCAGAGGUCCUAAAAAUUCAAUUCUCAACAACCACAUGAAGGCUUACAGCCAUCUGUUCAGCUACAAUGUAUUCACAUACAUAAAAUAAAUAAAUAAAUACAUCUCUUUAAAAAAAAAUCUGGGGAUGUAGUGUAGUAGACUGCUUGUGUAGCAUGAACUAGACCCUAGAUUCAACUUCCAGAACAGUAAAAGCAUAAAUAAGACAAAGAAGGGCUAGAGAGAUAGCUGAGCAGUUAA